UGUAUCUGUACUCCAGCUUGUUCUAUUCUACUUGUUUUUAGAGGAAAAGAGAUGGUUCUUCACUGUCUUGCUCGUGUAUGCCAAUGAUGUGACGCGGUUUAGCUGCUUGUGUGUUUGCACUAAUGAUAAAUUCAGCCGUGUUUUCUUGUCUAUGUGGCCAUGGAUGCACCCAGUGAAGGACAACGAUGGGCAAAAAAUGAUAGUGCAGUCUCUUGCCUCCUCUUCAUAUUCCAUACCAGAAAAACAUCCUUCGCCCCUUUAUUUUCUUCAGGCGCGUAUGGAAGGCCGAGAAGUUCUAAUGCUAGUAUACAUCAAGUUCAGAUAAGUUGCCGCGAACGGCGCCUGAGCAGCGGGUACCAUAAGUAUUAGACGGCAAGUGUAUUGAGGCCAGCAGAAGACUCCCCAUGAAGCAUGCCAUCAUGUGUAUGGGGUGAGCUGCUACAACACUAGUGCGGCUACUGUCGCAAAUGAACUUGGCUGGUUGUAGCUGUUUGUACUAAACAUGUGUGUGCCUGUGUUAUCUUUGGUAGUCAAAGUUUUGUGGUGGGUUGCUACUGAACAUUUGUUCUAUUGCUUCUUAAGUGAUGUAUAUUGAGAACUAGUGGAAUUUGGAUUGUAAAUUUAAAAACACUUAAUAGUUGUUCC